CCUACGGGGGGCAGCAGUGGGGGAUAUUGCACAAUGGGGGAAACCCUGAUGCAGCGACGCCGCGUGAGUGAAGAAGUAUUUCGGUAUGUAAAGCUCUAUCAGCAGGGAAGAAAAUGACAGUACCUGACCACGAAGCCCCGGCUAACUACGUGCCAGCAGCCGCGGUAAUACGUAGGGGGCAAGCGUUAUCCGGAUUUACUGGGUGUAAAGGGAGCGUAGUCGGUUAUGUAAGUCUGGAGUGAAAGGCCGGGGCCAAACCCCGGGACUGCCUUGGAAACUGUGUAACUGGAGUACAGGAGGGGCAGGCGGAAUGCGUGGUGUAGCGGUGAAAUGCGUAGAUAUCAGGAGGAACACCGGCGGCGAAGGCGGCCUGCUGGACUGAAACUGACGUUGAGGCUCGAAAGCGUGGGGAGCGAACAGGAUUAGAUACCCUUGUAGUC
rnacentral:rRNA from 1 species